UAGCACAGUGCUUCAUGCAUAGCUGACGCUAAUUGUUGAAUGAAUUUGUGGAAGGAAGAAGGACCCUUUGAGUCCUGUCAGCCUGAUUCUCAUGUGUCUGGGGAAGUGGGGUGUCAGUGAAGAUGGCUUGCAGUUCCUGGCUGGUGUUUACCAAUGCGGGAGAGCUAGGAGGCUGAAGAGAAGAAGUUGAUGAGCUUUUUCUGCCACUUUGGCCGGGAGCUGUGGCUCACACCUGUAAUCCCAGCACUUCGGGAGGCUGAGGCAGGUGGAUCACGAGGUCAGGAGAUCGAGACCAUCCUGGCUAACACAGUGAAACCCUGUCUCUACUAAAAAUACAAAAAAUUAGCCGGGUGUGGUGGCAUGGGCCUGUAGUCCCAGCUACUCAGGAGGCUGAGGCAGGAGAAUCACUUGAGCCCAGGAGGCAGAGGUUGCA